GCCCUCGCCUCCGUCAACGGAUUGGACCUCCCCGUGACUUCCGAUUCACCUGGCACAUCCACAGUCCCCAAAGAAUGGACUCUUCUGUGUGUGACGACGGUUUCUGAGGAAGCAAGAGGAGGCAGGAGAGAGAGUCCUAAGCAGUCCACCCUAAUAGCACGCUCGUCACCGGGGCCAUCCUUUUCGACCGACAGACGUCCGCCCGCUUUCCCGGGGGAGCCAAGACGAGAGGGACGGCGCCCAAAGUGCGGAUGAGGUUGUGACCGACCGCCGGCCUUUCCGUUCGGCGCAGACCACUUGGAGUCACUGGGGCCAUGAGGAACUUUCUCGCGCAACGUCCAUCUCCGCUCACUUCUGACAUCUCCCUCGUCUGUGGCGUCGCUGUGGCUCGAUCUGUCUCAAACGAAAUCGUUUGCCUUUCGACUCCAACGCUAUGUUUCUGUAAUAGGUUCGCAUAUGACAAUGUCUGUCUCCCACCGCGGCCCCUGAGCUCAUAAAGGGCAAAAGGCGUGGC